rnacentral:rRNA from 1 species
GACGAAGGGGGCUAGCGUUGUUCGGAAUUACUGGGCGUAAAGCGCGUGUAGGCGGUUGUUCAAGUCGGGUGUGAAAGCCUUGAGCUCAACUCAAGAAAUGCACUCGAUACUGGAUGACUUGAGGACCGGAGAGGAUAGUGGAAUUCCCAGAGUAGUGGUGAAAUACGUAGAGAUUGGGAAGAACACCAGUGGCGCAGGCGGCUAUCUGGACGGUUUCUGACGCUGAGACGCGAAAGCGUGGGGAGCAAACGGG